UCAAACUUUUUGUAUUAGAUCGUGAUUGUUCCAGUGGCAAUGUAACUGUCGCUAUGUUCUUCCAUGUAGGAAAAAAUCCUGUGCUAUUGUACAUUAAUUCUGUACUCUAUUGCAGUUAUUUGGGUGUAAUUUACAUGUAAUAAUGACAUAGCGCUUGGUCAGUCGCCAUGACCGUUUUCGGUGGUUGCUAUAUAAUUUCCAUCUCUUGCAUACGGUUUUCACUUCAAGUGGGAAGAUAUUGAUUUUAAUGUGGGGCUCAUUGCCACAUAUUGUUACAUUGUCAGCGGAACAUACUAGAGUAUCACAUUGUAUACCGGAAUGUGAGUAGACAUAACUUUCCAGCUAUGUUCCACUUCAAUGCGCAGUGAGUCAGUUUGUUGUUAGGAUGACGUUCAGGCUAAGAUCGAAUUCAUGGGUUGUGCCCUCGCAUUAGCCAAUUUUUAAGUUUUAACUUGAAUUUGCUCAGUGAUUGCCUUGUUGAGUCAUCUUUGGUACAUGGCAAGAAAACAUAUCUGCCUGACUUACUAAUCAAAAUAGCAUUCAGGACUGAUAAAUGAAAAUCACUUUUUGAAGAAUUUAGAUAGCAGUAACAGUUUUCAGUAUGUAAAUUCGGUUAACAAAAAAGCGGGAACUGCAAGGUGCAUUUAAGUUGUUACAUUACCAGAAUAGGGGUGCUUAUAUUGUGGACGAAUUUGUCAUGGUGGGUGGGAUGAUACUGCUCAUAAUUUUCAAUAUGGAACUCCGUUGUAAAGUACAGGUUGCUAUUGUUCAAGAUUUUAACUACUAUAAUUCAUCAAAGCUUACUGAUGAGCUGCCUCAUAGGGAAUUGAAGGAGUUGUGGAAGGAAGUGGUAACCUGCAAUAAAAGUUGGAAAGUGGACUCCCUGAACAGCUAAUCUGUAGCAUAGCCUAGGCCUGGAUUAAGCUGGAAGGUAAUUUGGUAAAGUUAGCAGGUGUGAUCGCCUAAGAUGGACUUGCAGCAGAUCCUAAUGUUUCCAUUUUGUGCCAUAUAUCCAGUAAUUAGAGCUGAUAGGUAAACAUAGAAUAUCUGUAUAUGGUUGAACAGUUAAGUUUCUCCAAACUUAAAGCCAAAUUGCCUUUUGAUCCUACCUGAGGGUUGUGCUACAGGAGUCGUAAACCAGUAUUUCAGGGGUUGUAGUGUCUUCAUAGGAAGGGGAGGGCUGUUCUUCAACAGUUCUGUAAGGUCCCAUAGAGGUCAGGCCCUGUAAAUCGUAUGCACCAAAGUAAUUCUUGAAGAUUUUGAAAAGUAGUUUCUGAAUUUGUUGCAAUUAGUCCAUAAAUACAUAAUAAAUAAAUCGUAAGCCUCUUCGCACUGAGUUUGGUCGAAACCAUCUGGUCUGGUUACAUCAGAUUGACAUUCACUGUGCAUUUAUCUUGUUAAAGUUCCUGUUAGUUAGUUAAAGUUCCUGAUAGUUAAAGUUCCUGAUCCAUAAAUUACUUUAAUAUAUUUCUAUGUAGUAAGGAAUUAGUGUCUAGAUUCUACUUCCUUCUAAAGUUGCUAGUUCCAUUAAAUGGUCGUGAUAUUAAGGGCUGAUAAUCUGAAGCAGUGACCUUCUAUUGUCAGCAGAAAAUGAGAUCCACGUUUCCCUAAUAUUUCUUUUAUUUCAUACAAAUCAAUACACAAAAUGUUUGACUUUAUUUUCAAAAAUUUGUAGUCUUUACUUUCUAAGACUAGAGUAAUUAAAAUGACUGGCCUUAACGUUGACUGCUGUUGAAUUACAUUAGUUAUUGCAAAUUGUAACAGUGUAGUGUAAACAGUCUGCAUGAAACUUUGUAUGCAGAAUUGUAACUGAGUCAGUAAAACUUGAAAAUGGCACAGAAUCUCACCCAGGGCCUGUUCCUAACACACAAUCAUAAAUUGUACAUGCUACCCCUUCAUCACUGCUGGCUUCUGUUCACUCAUUUCAAUCUGCAAACUUGCGUUUGUAUUUAGGAUGGUUAGUCACAUAGUCAUUCCUCCGCAUUUAUUUAUUGGCUGUUAAGUUCUUGAUCAUGUAAAAAAAGUCGUAUUUAAUUUAUUGAUGAUAGUUGAAUGCACUUGUGCUCAUUCAUGUGUAUUCGAAGAAUUUGUCUGGUGAUCUUCGUAGUUGAUAUUUAUGAAUAUAGAUUCCUCCCGUUGUGAAUUUCAUGCACAGCAUUCCUUUUUGAUUUAUUUUGAAUUAACCUAAUUUUAUGGCCUGACUCUCCAGCUACAGUAUUCUUCAGGUUAGGGACGUAGUUUUAUAGAAAUGGCUGAUUAGCUCUAAGCAGCCAUCUUGUAGAGUGACAUGGUUACUCUCACACAGGACACCCAAGCUUUCAACAGGGUCUUAAUAUGAUGCAUUUUUAAACAGUGGCAGUAUAAGGGGAUUCUGAAACAUUUGCAGUAACAAAUUAGUUUCAGAGCUGACAGUAACCAUUGAACAUGCAGAAAUUUAUCAGGUGGUGGUGGUUGAGCACCUUAGAGUAUAGUUUGUAGGGUUUGUCAAAGUUCCCAGAACUUUCCAGUUUUGCCAUUUCUCUCUAGCAGUAUUUAAUCUGCAAGUUUGAAUUUUUUU